UGAACAAGGUGUGAUUAAAACACCCAACAACCCAAAAGGGGAUAUGAGAAAAUGGAGCUCUCUCUUCCCUUAACACACCGCAAGGUGUGGCAUACUGCACCUCCCCAAAUAAUAUCAAAGUAGUGUUGGUGAACAGCUAUUUUUUCCUUCUUUUUUCUCUUUCCUUUGUAAUAAGGAAUGGCUCACUGUGGGGAGAGGGGAAAGAGACAGACUGACAGAGAGAGAGAGCGCCAGAGAUAUACAGAGAGAGAAAGACUCAGAAAGACAGAGAUAGAUGAGGCAGAGGCAGAGACACAGAAAGAGAGAAUAAGGGAGGGAGGGAGAGAGUCCAAGACCAACACUCAAUCCCAAAGUACUAGAAAAGUAGGAUGGAGUCAGCUCAGGAAAGUAUUUAUGUGGUGUACAGAGUUUAUAUUUGAUCCUAAAAGUACUUGGGACCUGGCAGAAUCUAUUGAGAAGAGGAAUGUGUUUGGACCAGAGAUUUAAGAAAAUCCCUCUAACUACUCUGGGGAGGACAAUGCUGAGGACUUGGGGCAAAGAGGCACGCAGGAGAUAAAAGAAGCAGUCCAGAUGAGGUAGACUCUACCAAGCCCAAGAUCACAGCCCUGGCAUUGGCAGGGUCUUCAGAGGCCAUCUUGACUGCCUCCCUCACUUCAAGAGAAGACACAAGCAGACCUGUUCGGUGACUGGCUGAGGCUCCAGAGCCAGUCCCCAGGAGAGGGACCCUCUGAAUGCCAGACUUCCAAACUCACAUCCAGGUUCCACCUCUUCCGACAGGCAUUCAGAUGCCUGCUAGAUCCAUUAAGACAGUAGAAAGGCCUACAAGUCAACAUGGAGAAGAAGAUCAUUCCUGGAUGAACAGCCUCUUCAAUUCAAGGAGAUUGAAAAAAUGGCAGGUGGAGGCUCUGACUUUCUCCCUGUCAAGGGCCCCUGAUCAAUGGAUCCAUGAUUGUAUGAGGUUGUGUAUCCUCCAUGGACCGCAGGUAACUCAUCCACACAACUUACAUGGGCUGUGCUGUACCUGCCCAUGUCUUCCUACCCUGAGUUUCCACGGAUGGCUGUGCUGCCGAGGGGCCCAGCUGCCUCUGGUCCUUCCAUCUCUGCCUGGCAGCCUGACUCUCUCUCUCCAGCCUGGGUUGACCGGAUGAUAUCCUCACACAUCCUGAAUUAAAGGCUUCAUGGCUAAAAUGCUGGCUUUCAACUCCACUUUGGAAGGACCAUAGUUUUGAUUCUUUGGAAAUUGCAAAAUACAUUUUCUUUU